rnacentral:rRNA from 1 species
ACACAUGCAAGUCGAACGAAGCACUUAUCUUUGAUUCUUCGGAUGAAGAGGUUUGUGACUGAGUGGCGGACGGGUGAGUAACGCGUGGGUAACCUGCCUCAUACAGGGGGAUAACAGUUAGAAAUGACUGCUAAUACCGCAUAAGACCACAGAGCCGCAUGGCUCGGUGGGAAAAACUCCGGUGGUAUGAGAUGGACCCGCGUCUGAUUAGGUAGUUGGUGGGGUAACGGCCUACCAAGCCAACGAUCAGUAGCCGACCUGAGAGGGUGACCGGCCACAUUGGGACUGAGACACGGCCCAAACUCCUACGGGAGGCAGCAGUGGGGAAUAUUGCACAAUGGGGGAAACCCUGAUGCAGCGACGCCGCGUGAGCGAAGAAGUAUUUCGGUAUGUAAAGCUCUAUCAGCAGGGAAGAAAGUGACGGUACCUGACUAAGAAGCACCGGCUAAAUACGUGCCAGCAGCCGCGGUAAUACGUAUGGUGCAAGCGUUAUCCGGAUUUACUGGGUGUAAAGGGAGCGUAGACGGCUGUGUAAGUCUGAAGUGAAAGCCCGGGGCUCAACCCCGGGACUGCUUUGGAAACUAUGCAGCUAGAGUGUCGGAGAGGUAAGUGGAAUUCCCAGUGUAGCGGUGAA